rnacentral:rRNA from 1 species
GUGCCAGCAGCCGCGGUAAUACGUAGGGUGCAAGCGUUAAUCGGAAUUACUGGGCGUAAAGCGUGCGCAGGCGGUUUGCUAAGACCGAUGUGAAAUCCCCGGGCUCAACCUGGGAACUAGCAUUGGUGACUGGCAGGCUAGAGUAUGGCAGAGGGGGGUUUAAUUCCACGUGUAGCAGUGAAAUGCGUAGAGAUGUGGAGGAAUACCGAUGGCGAAGGCAGCCCCCUGGGCCAAUACUGACGCUCAUGCACGAAAGCGUGGGGAGCAAACAGGAUUAGAUACCCUGGUAGUCC